rnacentral:rRNA from 1 species
GACGAACCGUGCGAACGUUGUUCGGAAUCACUGGGCUUAAAGGGCGCGUAGGCGGCUUGCCAAGUCAGUGGUGAAAUCCUGCAGCUUAACUGCAGAAGUGCCUUUGAUACUGCGAGCUCGAGGAGGUAGGGUAUGUGGAACUCUGUGAGCGUGAAAUGCGUGAUAUCAGAGGAACGCCGUGGCGAAAGCGACUCCUGGAC